GUGCUCACUUCAUCAGCAUGUAUACUAAAAUUGGAACAACACAGAGAAGAUUAGCAUGGCCUCUAUGCAAGGAUGACAUGCAAAUUUGUGAAGUGUUUCAUAUUUUU